rnacentral:lncRNA from 1 species
CACGAAAGAGGUGCCUCUGCCGUCCACAGCUCUGGCUCCCCCAGCCACGGGGACCACAGUGUCCUCUUUGGCCCAGGAGUCCACACACCACUGGUCACAGCCGCCCGGCCCCUGCCAGACCAUCUGAGGGAGUGGACCGAGCCUCUCCAGACUAAGUGGACUAAGCAGGGACAAAGCUCCUCCCCAGACCCUGGAGAACCCAGGCCAGAUCUGGAGACCCCUGACUCAAGGCCGGCUGUCACAAUGUGACCGGGUAGGUCUGAGACGGGGCAGCGCUCACCCACAAGAUGGGGUUAAGAAGCCCAUCUUGCCAGCCAGGAGGGCUCAGUUGAGGGAGCGUGUGCCAGGCAAGUGGCCAUGUCUGUGGACAGAGCCAGGGCCAGGCUCACUGUCUUCAGAGCCCCUCCUGGGCAUCUCACCCCUGGGGUCACCUUGGGCCACAUGCUCUGGUAACCAGCAAGCUCACGCCGUCCAAAGUGCCAUCCAGCCUCUGCACUACAGCCCCCAGCCCAGAUCUCCCUUCACCAAGCUCCUGGACCGAAUCAGAUCUAACCCCCACCAAGCUACCUGCUAGGGUGAGGGAACAGCCAGGGAAGAAGAUCCAUAAAUCUUUUUGGAGGGAUUCCCCAGAUACCAGACCCCAGAGUCUCCUGGGAGAUGAGAGUUCACAGAAACAGGCUGAGACCCAAAGACAGGGGGCUCGUCCACCAGAUGACACACACACACAUACACACACAUGUAGACACACAUAUGUGCACACACACACAAAACAUAACACAAGAACAUAUAUACACAUGUGUACACACAUAUACUACACGCGUGCAUAUACAUACAAAAAUACAACACACAUACAUAUACACACAGGCAUAGCCAUACGCACGUGGACACACAUACGUACACACACAUGCAAGCACGUGCAUGCAUAUAUGUAUAUACAAAUACACAGACACACGCGUGCACACAUACAAAAACACAAUACACACAACACACAUACACAGAUACAAAUGCAUGUACAAACACAUGCAUGCACACAAAACCAAGCAUAUACAUACAUGCAAACACAUACGCAUACACACAGACAAAAACACAUGCAGGCACAUACACGCGUACAAAGACACAUGCACA